rnacentral:rRNA from 1 species
AAGACGAACGCUGGCGGCGUGCUUAACACAUGCAAGUGGAGCGACGAACCAGGGCUUGCCCUGGGGCAGAGCCGCGAACGGGUGAGUAACACGUGGGUUACCUGCCUUGAUGACCGGGACAACCCGAGGAAACUCGGGCUAAUACCGGAUGUGCCCGCAAGGGGAAAGGAAGCUUCGGCCUCCGCAUCAAGAUGGGCCCGCGGCCCAUUAGCUUGUUGGUGAGGUAACGGCUCACCAAGGCUUCGAUGGGUAGCUGGUCUGAGAGGACGAUCAGCCACACUGGGACUGAGACACGGCCCAGACUCCUACGGGAGGCAGCAGUGGGGAAUCUUGCGCAAUGGGGGAAACCCUGACGCAGCAACGCCGCGUGGAGGAUGAAGUCCCUUGGGACGUAAACUCCUUUCGACCAAGACGAUAAUGACGGUACUGGUGGAAGAAGCACCGGCUAACUUCGUGCCAGCAGCCGC